rnacentral:rRNA from 1 species
UACGGAGGGUGCGAGCGUUGUCCGGAAUCAUUGGGCGUAAAGGGCGCGUAGGUGGCCCGGUCAGUUCGUGGUGAAAGCGCGGGGCUCAACCCUGCGUCGGCCAUGAAUACUGCCGCGGCUGGAGCACUGUAGAGGCAGGCGGAAUUCCAGGUGUAGCGGUGAAAUGCGUAGAUAUCUGGAGGAACACCGGUGGCGAAGGCGGCAUCCUGGACCGACACUGACGCUGAGGAGCGAAAGCCAGGGGAGCAAACGGG